UGGCUUAGUUGGUAGAGCAUGGUGUUUGCAACGCCAGGGUUGUGGGUUCGAUUCCUGC
rnacentral:tRNA from 1 species